UCCUCCUCAACAUUUUCUGGCAAGUUUUUUGCCUUCCAUGCUGUCUGCAGAUCAUGUCCACGUGUACUUCCUAGCCUACACUGAUGUUAGCCUGAAAUGGUUGGAGUAACAAAACUCUAUUUAGCCAUACAGCCAGGGAGGAGGAGGAGGAGGAAGGAGAUGGGGGCAAAGAGAGGGGACCAAGAGGUUAGAGAAUAAAGGAAGUUUUUAAAUGAUGCUAUGCCAGAGACAAAUUAUCUCUGUAGAGGAGCUUUUCUCAAGCUCUCUCACGCUUAGAAAUGUUUUUGUUCAGUCCUACAGAUCAGAGAUCAAGUAGAAUACAAACACAUGAGGAGAUGGCAUGUUAAAGCUAAUGCCAACAAGAAGUUCCCAAAAUGUGGAGACCGAGAUGAAGACUCUACACUUCAAUAGUGAAAGCUGAACAACUGUUAGCUAUGAACAAAAAAUGACCCAACUUUUUUGAGGAAUGAGGACCACAGAUUGUCGGGACACCUUCACCAUUUACUUGGCCAUAUUGAUCUCAGAUGAAGCCAGUAUAACUUAUCAAAACUCAGUUUGUACUGCCCAAAUACAUCGUAUUUAUCUGUCAUUGGAAUGGAUCUGAUAAACAUCAGAAUUACUGAAUUCUUUCUGAAUUACUACUGCAGCAUGCUAACUCAUGAAGUCUUCCAGUUACCAAGCAAGCAGACUGCUUUCUUUGCUGUUUGAGAUGCAGAGAUUCAAAGGUGAGAUUCAGAGCUGAGUCGUUUGUAGAACUGGCAGGCUAGUGAGACUCCUGGGUAUCUAGUCAUAUGAUUUUAUGGUAUAGGAUUAUAGUUAGGGGGAAGAAUCUAGAGUGAGGAGGCUUGAAUCAAUGACAGAGGAGAGAAUUUGAUAUGGAGGGAAUUGCUUGGCAUCUGUCUCCCUGCUGGCCAAAGGAUUUUAAAAUUUGAUAGAGAGAUAUUGCAUCCAGAAGAUCUGAUAAAGGAUAGGUGAUAUUCUGGGAACAAAAUGUGCUUUUUCAAAUGUUAUGAAAUGAGACAGAAUUGGAGUGCCAUUUUCAUCACACCAUGCCCACCACCAAACCCUUGUUCCACUGCCACAUACCCAGGGUACUU
rnacentral:lncRNA from 12 species